AAAAACAUAUGGUAUGAUAUGGAAAAUUUUUCAAAAAAAACUCUUGAUGACAAAGUUGUAAAUCUAAGAGUUAAGCGACGAUUUAUAUCUCAAAUUGAAGCUAAAACGUUCUACUUUAAGAUACGAUUAUAACAUAUCUGCGCUAAUUCGCAGAUUUCAAAUUGACUAAAAUCUAAAUUAAAAUAUAUAAAAAUUGUUCAGAAUGAGACCACGAAAAAAAUACUAAAUAUCAUAAAGAUGUAACAUUAAAAACUUUCAACUUAGAGUUGAAAAUAAUACAAAACUAAAUAAUACGCAAUAAUAA